rnacentral:lncRNA from 1 species
UGCAUUAUUCUAUUUCUAUUAUUUGUGUUUACAUUUCUUAUGUGAUAAUAAUAAUGUACUGUACUCAAUCGACGUCUUACGGGAUCAAAUUAGGGUCAUAAAGUUUACGUGUGCGUAAAAAAAAAAAAAAAAUCCAUAACGGCCUGCGUCAUUCCCAACACUGCGCUCUGAUUGGUCAGCCUCUGCCUUGUUUUUAUUUUCAAACUUACUACAACCCGGAAGUUGUGAGACAGACGAACACGGUUUGCUUUCACUGACGGACUGACAGACGGUGAACAAUGAAGGGGAAAAUAGCUGUUCCACGCUCGGUGGUGACAUCAGGGAGGCUGACAGGAACUGUCAAAAUGAACAGAGUGAUGCGACAUCCAGGACCAGCAUUGCGCCCUGAGGCGGCCUACUCUCUGUACUCCACAGACUCUGAGGACCAGGUCCCUGCACUGCACAGAGACCUGGACCGCUGUGCCGCUCUGCUGAGUGACAUGCUCAAUGCAGAUGGAGCAGCCUCACCCAGACCUCCCAGAACAGUAAAGGGUGCAGCUGCCAAAUCCAGACUUUCCGCCUCACGUGGGAAGAAGAUCAAACACAAACCAUCACCAAACUCUGGGCAAAGAGGCUCCAGCACGGCUCAAACUGGACGACUCACCACCACUCCCAGAACUCCCAGAAUUCCCACCACUCCCAGAACUCCCACCACUCACCACCCAGUUUCCUUACGACACACGGGAGUGAAGCUUCCUCCGCCUCAGAGACGACGACACCCGGCGCCCGACCCACCUGGAACCUCUCCCUGUAGGCCACACCCCCCUGCUGGGGUGGAACACACACCUGAGGAGGACCUGGUCCCAGUCAGAGACACUGGGACCACCUCCAACAUGAAGCAACAACCAGAGGAAAACCAGGAUAUGCUGUCCCUGCAGAUCCAGAACACUCAGCUCCGCAGGUAA